UGUCAGAAUUGUCCAGCUAUUUGAGUUUGUGCUCGGGACGAACAAGCAGCGACACGUAAACCAGACCGCUAACCACAGCUGCUGCUGCCGAUUAGCUGUACAUCUAUCAGUCCAGACUGGGAGAUCCAGGGAAGGUUGGGCUGGGAGGUAGCUUCAGAACAAUUGUUUGUUGUUUCUUUCUGUUUUUUUUUCUUCUCGUUUUUAGCAAAAACCUAGCUUAUUGAGUAUCGAUUUAAAAUCUUUAUUAGCUUAAGCACUAUAAUUGUGCCUAACCAAUAAUUUAUAGUUAUAAAUACUUAAAAGAUCAUCGCAUCCUCAUCAGUCUCUGCAAACUCUGUGUUCAGAGUUAAAUCAGUGUGAACAGGCACACACGUCAAACGAAGAUGCCCAGUGAACCCUCUGUCUCUACAGGCGCUCCUUCACCAUGGCGGUCCGUCACCCAGGACUCCUUCAUCAGCCACCCUCUGACUGCCUGGCCUGCCGACCCCCAGCGGUGGUACGGCCACAAGACGGAUGAAAUGGUCCAGUGGACAGAGAGAAACAUCAUGAACCAGAAACUGAACAAGUUACUGACAGAGAUGGAAAAAAAGGGCAGCGUGAAAUAAUGUCCUGCUUCUCACCCUGAGACCACAACACAUGCGCGCACACACACACACGCACACGCACGCACACACACACGCACACACACCGCCCCUUGUGAU